UACGAAGGGGGCUAGCGUUGCUCGGAAUCACUGGGCGUAAAGCGCACGUAGGCGGAUUGCUAAGUCAGGGGUGAAAUCCCUCGGCUCAACUGAGGAACUGCCUUCGAUACUGUUCGGCUUGAGUCCUGGAGAGGGUAGCGGAAUUCCCGGUGUAGCGGUGAAAUGCGUAGAGACCGGGAAGAACACCAGUGGCGAAGGCGGCUACCUGGACAGGUACUGACGCUGAAGCGCGAAAGCUAGGGGAGCAAACAGG
rnacentral:rRNA from 1 species